GGACAUAUGGCCUGGGGGCUCUGACUGAAGAAAGGAAUGCAGCACUCAUGAUCCUGUUGAAUAGAGAUGACUUCACAUCUAUCCUUGGAGGUAAUGACUAAGUCUGUCCUCUCUCUUAUCAACACAUUCAACCACCCUCUUCAUAUCUGUCCAAAAGAGGUAACGAAGGAGAGCAAGUAAAACAUUCAAUAGUGGAGACCAGAGAGAGAGAGAAAGGUUAACAGGAAGAGGGAAGGAAAGGAAUACAGAGAGGAACAGACAAAACAAACCAGGAUCUCAGAAUGAGCUGAAGAUCAGUGUCCCAAGUGUGACAGGGUAAACUCCCAAGAAGGUCCAUUGAGAGCCUCAAACCAUGUGUCUCCUGGGAAGUGACCUGAGCAGAAGAAAGAGCCCAGAUAAAAGAAGGGGAAGAGAAACACAGAAGAGCUCCUCACAGGACCACAUCAUGGGAGCUGAGCUUCCUCAGAGCCUUGCUGCUUCUAAGAUCGAGGGAAUAUCUUGCCUUCCAGCCCAUGGAGGAAGGCCCAGCAAUGACAGAGCCCUAUGAGAAAAGAGUGCCAGUUGGUGUAUACUCAUCGUACACAGUACUGGUCUUCAUAAGGACAUUCCCACAUGUCUGUAUAAUUUACUUAUAUUUUCCCCUCAUUCCCCAUUCUCUCCAUCUCCCACUCAUCUUCUCCAUCCCACCAAUUUUCUAUCUACUUUCAUAUCCUAGAUUACAUAAAUUCUUAACUAUACCAAUG
rnacentral:lncRNA from 1 species